rnacentral:rRNA from 1 species
CAGCACCUCAAGUGGUCAGGAUGAUUAUUGGGCCUAAAGCAUCCGUAGCCGGCUCUGUAAGUUUUCGGUUAAAUCUGUACGCUCAACGUACAGGCUGCCGGGAAUACUGCAGAGCUAGGGAGUGGGAGAGGUAGACGGUACUCGGUAGGAAGGGGUAAAAUCCUUUGAUCUAUUGAUGACCACCUGUGGCGAAGGCGGUCUACCAGAACACGUCCGACGGUGAGGGAUGGAAGCUGGGGGAGCAAACCGGAUUAGAUACCCGAGUAGUCC